rnacentral:rRNA from 1 species
UUUUCCUACGGGGCGCAGCAGUGAGGAAUAUUGGUCAAUGGGAGAGAUCCUGAACCAGCCAAGCCGCGUGAGGGAAGACGGCCCUAUGGGUUGUAAACCUCUUUUGUCGGGGAGCAAGACCCGCCUCGUGCAGGCGGAGCGAGAGUACCCGAAGAAAAAGCAUCGGCUAACUCCGUGCCAGCAGCCGCGGUAAUACGGAGGAUGCGAGCGUUAUCCGGAUUUAUUGGGUUUAAAGGGUGCGCAGGCGGACCAUCAAGUCAGCGGUAAAAUCGCGGGGCCCAACCCCAUCCCGCCGUUGAAACUGG